GGUAAAAUGGCUGAAUAGUAAGCAAUAAAUUGUAAAUUUAUUUAUGAAUCUUAAUUCUUUUACCAG
rnacentral:tRNA from 1 species